AGAUGUGCAGUGGAGUGGAAGUGACCAUCAGCCAUUGCGUGUGGAGGGAAUGACCGUCAGCCUUGCAGUGUGGAGUGGAAGUGACCAUCAGCCAUGCAGUGUGGAGUGGUGCAGUGACCAUCAGCCGUUUGCCAGUGUGGGCAGUGGUAGUGACCAUCAGCCAUUGCAGUGUGGAGUGGAAGUGACCAUCAGCCAUUGCAGUGUGGAGUGGAAGUGACCAUCAGCCGUGGAGUGGAAGUGACCAUCAGCCAUUGCAUUUUUUUUUCCAUUUAUUUGAAUAGAGUUCCAAGGAGUGGAGGAAUGGUUCCAUCACAUGUAGCUUUAGUUGUGUGUUUUUUUUUUCUUUCCAUUUGCAAAGUCCCUCCUUCUGAGUGAGAAGACACAUAUGUUCCAAGGCUCCUGGUUGGUUGAAAUGUUUUGUCAGCCAUUUUAGCCAGAAAUUAAAGAGAUUUGCUGGACUUGUGAUUACGACACAACGUUUCAAACUCAACAGCAAAAAGACACAAGGCUCUUCUCUUUGUUUCUCCAUGCAGACUCUCAGAGACAGUCUGACUGACUGUCUCAGACUGACUGUCUCAGACUGACUGUCUCAGACUGACUGUCUCUGACUGACUGUCUCUGACUGACUGUCUGUCUGUAAAGAUUUUCAGUGUAACAUAACAUGGGUGUGAAAACACAACUAUUUCUUCUACUGUAAAUGUACAUAUGAUUCUUUACUGAUUUUGGUUAGUACUGUACUCUCAGGACAGUAACACAAAUGAAGCGAUCUGGAAGGGUGUAUGGGUAAGUUCUGUGGACUGGACACUGAAGUUGGGAAUUUUAACAGCAUUUCAGCAAUCAAGUUCUCCUUUUGCUGCAAUUAUGGAAUCCUAUGGAUGGUGUUUAGAUUCCAGAGGUUCCAGAGGUAGAACAUAAGGUCACCACCAUAUCUCACUACUUCUCACCUUUGACCUUUUGUGACGUUCAAGAGCUCCCUCAUCUCUUUAUCUGGUAUUUUUGCUAAUAACUUGUGGUCGCGACGUGACAUCUUGUUGUGGUCGCGACGUGACAUCUUGUUGUGGUCGCGACGUGACAACUUGUUGUGGUCGCGACGCGAUGGGAAGUUCACUUAGUUUUUACACACUUUUUUUUGUUUUGUCCCAGUUUAUUUUGUGUAUAUAUAUAUAUACAUUUUGAUGCAGUAGAAUGAAUAGAACAAAGAACCACUAAUUAAAAGCUGAUUCUGUCACGUCACUGACGGCAGGCUAAGCUAAGCUUGGCAUAGGGUCCAUCCAAAAUAGCACCCUAUUCCCUAUUUAUCCCUGGUCCAAACUAGUGCACUAUGUAUAGUUGAAGUUGGAAGUUUACAUACACUUAGGUUGGAGUCAUUAAAACUCAUUUUUCAACCACUCCACAAAUUUCUUGUUAACAAACUAUAGUUUUGGUAAGUCGGUUAGGACAUCAACUUUGUGCAUGACGCAAGUCAUUUUUCCAACAAUUGUUUACAGACAGAUUAUUUCACUUAUAAUUCACUGUAUCACAAUUCCAGUGGGUCAGAAGUUUACAUACACUAAGUUGACUGUGCCUUUAAACAGCUUGGAAAAUUCCAGAAGAUGAUGUCAUGGCUUUAGGAGCUCCUGAUAGGCUAAUUGACAUCAUUUGAGUCAAUUGGAGGUGUACCUGUGGAUGUAUUUCAAGGCCUACAUUCAAACUCAGUGCCUCUUUGCUUGACAUCAUGGGAAAAUGUAAAUAAAUCUUCCAAGACCUCAGAAAAUAAAUCGUAGACCUCCACAAGUCCGGUUCAUCCUUGGGAGCAAUUUCCAAACACCAGAAGGUACCACGUUCAUCUGUACAAACAAUAGUAUGCAAGUAUAAACACCAUGAGACCACACAGCCGUCAUACCACUCAGGAAGGAGACGCGUUCUGUCUCCUAGAGAUGAACGUACUUUGGUGCGAAAAGUUCAAAUCAAUCCCAGAACAACAGUGAAGGACCUUGUGAAGAUGCUGGAGGAAACGGGUACAAAAGUAUCUAUAUCCACAGUAAAAACGAGUCCUAUAUCGACAUAACCUGAAAGGCUGCUCCGCAAAAGAAGAAGCCACUGCUCCAAA
ensembl:lncRNA